CACGUACUGUGCGAACGUUAUUCGGAAUCACUGGGCUUAAAGGGUGCGUAGGUGGCAAUUCAAGUCAGGUGUGAAAUGCCUGAGCUCAACUGAGGCAUUGCGCUUGAAACUGAACUGCUAGAGUAUUCCAGGGGUGUGCGGAACUGCCAGUGGAGCGGUGAAAUGUGUUGAUAUUGGCAGGAACACCGGAGGCGAAAGCGGCACACUGGGGGAUAACUGACACUGAGGCACGAAAGCCAGGGGAGCGAACGGG
rnacentral:rRNA from 1 species